rnacentral:misc_RNA from 1 species
GAUGAAGAACGCAGUGAAAUGCGAUAAGUAGUGUGAAUUGCAGAAUUCAGUGAAUCAUCGAAUCUUUGAACGCACAUUGCGCCCCAUGGUAUUCCGUGGGGCAUGCCUGUUCGAGCGUCAUUUACCCCCUCAAGCUCCGCUUGGUGUUGGGCGUCUGUCCCGCUUCGCGCGCGGACUCGCCCCAAAGGUAUUGGCAGCGGUCGUGCCAGCUUCUCGCGCAGCACAUUGCGCUUCUCGAGGCACCGGUGGGCCCGCGUCCAUCAAGCUCACCCCCCCAGUCUGACCUCGGAUCAGGUAGGGAUACCCGCUGAACUUAAGCAUAUCAAUAAGCGGAGGA